CCGGCCCUCCGGCCGGGGAAGCAGGGUGAUCCUGAGGCGCCUAGAAAAGCCUCGACGCGAGGGGCCGGUCCGCCCGUACCCCAAACCGACACAGGUGGUCGGGCAGAGCAUGCCCAGGCGCACGGGCGAACCGCGGUGAAGGAACUCGGCAAAACGCCCCCGUAACUUCGGGAGAAGGGGGGCCCGAGCCCUGAGGCCCCGAGCGGGCUGGGGGUGAGGGUCGCAGAGGCCAGGGGGGAGCGACUGUUUACUAAAAACACAGGUCCGUGCGAAGCCGCAAGGCGAUGUAUACGGACUGACGCCUGCCCGGUGCUGGAAGGUCAAGAGGAUCCCUCAGCCCCCCACGGGGGUGAAGGGGUGAGUCCAAGCCCCAGUAAACGGCGGUGGUAACUAUAACCAUCCUAAGGUAGCGAAAUUCCUUGUCGGGUAAGUUCCGACCUGCACGAAUGGCGUAACGACUUCCCCACUGUCUCCACCACGGGCUCGGCGAAAUUGCAUUACGAGUAAAGAUGCUCGUUACGCGCAGAAGGACGGAAAGACCCCGGGACCUUCACUGCAGCUUGGUAUUGGCGCCCGGUUCGGCUCGUGCAGGAUAGGUGGGAGACCGUGAUGCCGUCGCGUCAGCGGCGGCGGAGUCGUCGUUGAGAUACCACUCCGGCCGUGUCGUGCGCCUGAACCUCGGCCCGUGAUCCGGGUCAGGGACAGUGCCUGGCGGGUAGUUCAACUGGGGCGGUUGCCUCCCAAAGAGUAACGGAGGCGCUCAAAGGUCCCCUCAGCCUGGUCGGCAACCAGGUGUCGAGUGCAAGUGCACAAGGGGGCUUGACUGCGAGACCGACGGGUCGGGCAGGUGCGAAAGCAGGAACUAGUGAUCCGGCGAUCCCGCGUGGGCGGGUCGUCGCUCAACGGAUAAAAGGUACCCCGGGGAUAACAGGCUGAUCCUGCCCAAGAGUCCAUAUCGACGGCAUGGUUUGGCACCUCGAUGUCGGCUCGUCGCAUCCUGGGGCUGGAGCAGGUCCCAAGGGUUGGGCUGUUCGCCCAUUAAAGCGGUACGCGAGCUGGGUUUAGAACGUCGUGAGACAGUUCGGUCCCUAUCCUCUGCGCGCGCAGGAGACUUGAGAAGGCCUGUCCCUAGUACGAGAGGACCGGGACGGACGAACCUCUGGU
rnacentral:rRNA from 1 species